UUAUUUAGGCUAAAUGAUGAAGAUAUAGCUACUCAAUGCACAAAAAAUGCUUCUAAAGCUGCUGAAGUGGGUCGCCGAGAUCUUGUGCAGAUGUGGUCAAUAUGUUCUCAUAUUGCUAAUCCAAAAUUGAAAGCAAAUCUUGAUCCUGACAUUGAAUGUCCUUGGGCU